rnacentral:miRNA from 1 species
GGAGCGUGUGUGUGUGUGUGUGUGUGUGUGUGUGUGUGUGUGUGUGUGUGAGCUCACCGCUCCAGCUCGGUGCACCACAGAAUGUCCUCCUUC